AAAGUCGUAACAAGGUUUCCGUAGGUGAACCUGCGGAAGGAUCAUUAGCGUAUAAGUAAGUGCGCGUGACUGCACGCACCGGUUUGGCUGGCGCGCGCAAGCGCCAGUCGAAUUGGGGGGGUGUAGUUGCGCGCGCAAUACACAACACCCUGUGAACGAGGCCGAGUUUUGAGCUGGCGGCGAUGGUGGUGGUGGUGGUGGUGAUGGUGUGUGGUGGUGGUGGUGGUGGCGGCGAUGGCGAUUACAGUCGUCGUCGUCGUCGCCGUCGCCGUCGCCGUCGUCGUCAUCGUCGCGCCGCCGCCGUUGCGCGCUGGCCUUGACAAACCAUAUACUGAUAAUACUGAUAAUUGAUUAACCAACACAUAUAUAAUCAUACACACAACUUUUAACAAUGGAUCUCUAGGCUCCU
rnacentral:misc_RNA from 1 species